rnacentral:rRNA from 1 species
UACGUAGGUGACAAGCGUUGUCCGGAUUUACUGGGCGUAAAGAGCGCGCAGGCGGUCGUUCAAGUCGAGUGUGAAAGCCCCCGGCUCAACUGGGGAGGGUCAUUCGAUACUGAUCGACUCGAAGGCAGGAGAGGGAAGUGGAAUUCCCGGUGUGAGGUGGUGAAAUGCGAUAGAUAUCGGGAGGAACACCAGUGGCGAAGGCGACUUCCUGGCCUGUUCUUGACGCUGAGGCGGCGAAAAGCUAGGGGAGCAAACGGG